AGUGAACGCUGGCUGUAGGCCUAACACAUGCAAGUCGAACGGCAGCACAGAAAGAGCUUGCUCUUACGGGUGGCGAGUGGCGGACGGGUGAGGAAUACAUCGGAAUCUACUUUUUCGUGGGGGAUAACGUAGGGAAACUUACGCUAAUACCGCAUACGACCUACGGGUGAAAGCAGGGGAUCUUCGGACCUUGCGCGAUUGAAUGAGCCGAUGUCGGAUUAGCUAGUUGGCGGGGUAAAGGCCCACCAAGGCGACGAUCCGUAGCUGGUCUGAGAGGAUGAUCAGCCACACUGGAACUGAGACACGGUCCAGACUCCUACGGGAGGCAGCAGUGGGGAAUAUUGGACAAUGGGCGCAAGCCUGAUCCAGCCAUACCGCGUGGGUGAAGAAGGCCUUCGGGUUGUAAAGCCCUUUUGUUGGGAAAGAAAAGCAGCAGGUUAAUACCCCGCUGUUCUGACGGUACCCAAAGAAUAAGCACCGGCUAACUUCGUG
rnacentral:rRNA from 1 species